rnacentral:lncRNA from 1 species
CGCCGCGCCGGGCCCCCGGGCGCCAGGAGGGGCAGUGGCCCCGGGAGCGCGCGCCCCGGACGGGAAAGCCGGGUCUGCGGCCUCGCCCCAGCGUCCCCGCCGCCCUCCUGCAGACCCCGCAUCCUCCCGGGCAGCCGAGCCUCAGUGUCCCGAUCCGGGAAGUGGGCACGCAACGCUGGCCAGAGCCGCGGCCCCUCCGGACCCCAGUCACCUUCCCCGCCCCGGCCGGACACAACGGGACUGCUCUGCUGGAAGAUCCCACCCAGGGGCCCUCGGACAGGGCCGUGCAGUCUCCAUCGUGCCAAACGCACAGCCAUCGUUGUCUUUUUCUGCACCUUGCAGCGAUGAAAACGGCUAUGGUGAAAGACUUCCCUUCUGAGCCAGCGCUUUGUCUCGAGCACUCGUGAGUCCUCGCGCGUGGCCCACUUCAGCCCUGGGCACUCGCUCCGGAGAUGUGGAUGGAAAUCGCAUCUCCUCAGGUGCAGCCACUUCCCCAAGGCCAGGCGAGGGCUGGGCUGAAAGGCAGGCGUUGCCCCAGGGCUUUCUGUCUUUACUCACCUUUUUGUAGCUUUGCACCUAGCCCUGGUGCUCCUGCCUGGGCCGAUGUAACCAGGGUCCUCCUCUCCUGUCCCUGAAGCAGACUUCCCUCAAGUCCCGUCCCGUCCCCUGCUCCUGGCCCCAUAACCGGAAAAUCGAGACAGAAUGGUUUGGAAGCACGAAGGAUCCUGACGGCAGAUAAAGGACUCAGAGAAAACUGGCUGCCGACUUCUCGAGUGUGAGGUGAGACUCUCUUCGUGGAUUGGCCGGGGACCACGCACCCACCAGAAAGCCCCGAGUCUGGGGUCUCCUGGACGUCUGCAGACUUGCUCCACACGCAGCCGUGUUAGUUUCUUUCUGAAUCACUGGUGGACCCUUCGGAGCUCUGCACGUGGAUGUGUCUUUCCUGAGAACAGGACUUUAUCUUGCAUAACCACAGCAGGUUGCCAAACUCCUGAAUUCACGGCGAUAAGAUGCUGGUAUCUCGUCCAUCCGUGUUCCAGUUGUCAGCUGAUCGGAUAAAAUGUUGUGUAGUGUUUCUUCCCCUCCAUUUCAAGACCCAGUCCGGGGGUAGGACCAGGCCUGGCUUUCAGUUCUUUCAGACCGGUGGGUUUCAUGAACUUCUGUGAACUGGAGUGGAAUGGAUAUAAACAUCCUCAGGUGUUUUCCUGCUGGCAGUGGCCCCUAGAAUUCCUGGGGCACCUUCGUUCCCACAUUUCCUGGCUCUGCAAUAGGCCAGCACCCACCCCACACCGCUUUCUGAAGCAAGUUCAUGACCUUGCCACCCCUCCGUACACCCCAGUACUGAGGAUGGACCCACGGUGCUCUACCACUGAGCUGCAGCCUCAGCCCUUUCUUGUUUUUUUUACUUUGAGACAGGGUUUCCUUUUGCAAAGUUGCCCAGGCUGGCUUUGAACUUGGGAUCCUCCUGCCUCAGCCUCCCAAGUAGCUAGGAUUACAAGCACGCACCACCACACCUGCCUGAACUUCCCACUCCUCUUGUGGCUGUAGGAGCCAAAGUGGCCUCAGGAUGGUGAUUGUGGCCAAGCCCUGCCAUCCCCCAGGCACUCUUGAGGGUCCCCGGCCCAUGAGUCCCUCACAGGGUGGCAGCCCCUGCUAGCUGAUAGCCAAGCAGUGUACAAAUCACCCUGAGAGCCCAGCCUCCAGGGGCAGGCACCUCACCAGAGGGAACCAUGCAGGCUGGACUUGGACCUCGGGACAAGACACAGGAUUCUGUGAUAGCAAAGAAUCCAGCUAUCCGCCGUGAGCCGGAAGGCUCAUUCUGCUGAAAGUGGAGGAUCUGAGAGGCCCUCAUUUUUAAUUAGUGAUGAACUGAUUGACAUCUAUCUCCGCUGUUGACGGACAUGAGCCAUGGUUGAGAGGAAGUGGAGCCGCAGGUGCACUGGCAGCCUUUCUGGCACCACAGGGAAUCUGCUGAGAGGCCUCACGGUGGAGCUUCCAGGGAAAUCAGGCAUCUGGAGUCCUCCCACGACAUCCAGCCUGCUCCUCACCUUCCAAGAGUCAGUAACGUCCCUGGGAUGCGGGCUUCCGCCGUUCCUGUUGUGAGUCGCAGUUGUUAAAGCAGCACAGCUGGCUCAGCUGCUCCCCGAGAUGCACGUGCCCUGCACCCUGGAAGAGGAAAGAUUGCGGUCACGCAUGCAGCCUGGGGCCCUUGUGCCCAGAAUGCUCAGGCACACGGCGUCACUGACGGGGAGGGCCCAGCGAGGCUGGGGACCAUCACGUGACCUCCCCGGGUCGCUCUGCCAACCCCACUGUGCUGACCCAGGCCUCUGACCGGAGGGCAGGCAAUCCUCGCACCCGGCACUGGGGCUGCACUGGGCACCCAGCUCCUCCCGAGGACGAACGUCCAGGCCGGCAGGAGAAGGCCAGGCCCACCGAGCCCCUGCCGCAGAGGUGGCAGUGAGCGCCAGGGUGGCCACACCCUCCGGCGGUGUCGCGGUCACUCCGCAGCGCCCAGCCCCCAUCCUCGGGCCUCUGCCCGCCCGCCGAGGGGUGAACAGGAGCCGGGCCUCGGGUCUGAUGCACCCGCAGGAAGGCAAGCCUCAGCCGGCUCCCGGUGCCACCCUGGAGUCGCCGCGAUUCUCGGCGUCCCUCGGUGCCAGCACUACCGCUGCAGGGACGCUUCCACACCACGGGAAAGUCACAGCACCGACUCAGAGGGCAGCUCGUGGAGUUAAACCACCACGGAGCCGGGCGCAGUGGGGCAUGCCUGUCAUCCUAACACUCUGGGAGGCUGAGGCAGGAGGAUCACAAGCUUGGAUGGCUCAGCAACUUAUCAAGAUCCUGUCUCAAAAAAUAAUAAAACUUUAAAAGGCUGGGAUGUAGCUCAGUGCAGAAGCCUUGCGUGCGACUUCCAGUCCAGCAGAGAGGGGUGUCACCCACCUGACAUAUCCUGCUGUAGCCGUGGGAAACUGUGGGAGCCUGUGCUGCAUGUGGGAGUUCCCGUGACUCCCAGGACCACUGUCACUGUGGUCCUGUUCUGGUUUCUACCUAGCUGUCCCCCAGAGCCCCUGCGCAUAGGCCAGGCCCUGUGUGAAGUGCCAUGGACUGUUCUCAUCUGUGGAGCCACCCUGCCUUGGAGCCAGCCUACCAUGGACUGAGACCUCUACAUCUACACACUGAGCCAAAAUAAAGCUCUCCUCCCCUAAGUUGUGUCACAAUGAUGGGAAAGUGACUUGGACAGCGCCCAUGGCCACGAGAUGAUGUGACCUGUCUGCCACUGUCACUGCCUUCCUUCCUAAGGGUGAGUUUGCAUGACCCUUUGUCCUUAGACACAGAAGGCAGAUGGGCUGACCCACCAUCUGGUACUGGAGAGGAAUGGUCAGGAGGACCUUUUGGGUUACAAACACCUGACUGUCAUUUGUAGGAGCUGCAACAUCAUGGCAAUGAUCUGACCGCGGGCCCAGGACUCAGGCUGCCUGCAUUCAGGGGCAGCUUUGUGUUUCCAGCUCAUCAGCCCUGCAUUCAUCACUUCACUAACUUCUCUCCAUGCUUUGCCUCCUGCCUGGAACAGUGCUCGGUAAACAUUGGCUACAUGGACUCCUGGUUCUGUCUCCAGUCCUCAGUGCUCCUGUAUCAGCCACAGUACUGGUUCCGCUGGCCUGUUCUCAGUUGCCCAUACUCGGUGAGGUAGAAUGUAGGAAGCCUUAAUUAUGAAUUCGGAGACAAGCCCUGCCACCCUUGGAGGAGGACAUGGAAGGCAGCUAUGCUCACCACUAUACCACCAACGCGAGGAGGACAUGGGAUACGCAAUCUAUUUGCUUUACAUAAGGUGGAGAAGGAAAGAUGCCCACUUAACAUUUUUCUCCAAGGGCUGUGGUUCCCGUGUUGUCCCUUCCUUGGCUGUUCGGAGUUGAAUGCCUCCUCUCCACCACCUUUGCCCCGGGCCGCCAUUGUUCCUCUAAGCUUCUCUCCUUGCUUUGGUUUUAUGUAGAUUUUGUAUUGUAGUUGAUCUUUCAUGGGCAGAGAGCAAUGAAUUAAAGUCUCAUAUUUCUGAUGUGUUUCUGUUCGUUCUCCUAAUAGCUCCCAUGGUUGCUGCUUUAUGAAUUUUGAUGCUGUGUUAUUUGG